GACGAACGCUGGCGGCGUGCUUAACACAUGCAAGUCGAACGGAAAGGCCUCUUUCGGGGGGUACUCGAGUGGCGAACGGGUGAGUAACACGUGAGUAACCUGCCCUUGACUUUGGGAUAACUUCAGGAAACUGGGGCUAAUACCGGGUAGGAGCUCCUGCUGCAUGGUGGGGGUUGGAAAGUUUCGGCGGUUGGGGUUGGACUCGCGGCUUAUCGGCUUGUUGUUGGGGUAGUGGCUACCCAAGGCUUUGACGGGUAGCCGGCCUGGGAGGGGGACCGGCCCAAUGGGACUGAGAGACGGCCCAGACUCCCAAGGGAGGCAGCAGUGGGGAAUAUUGCACAAUGGGUGGAAGCCCGAUGCAGCAACGCCGUGUGCGGGAGGACGGGCUUCGGGUUUGAAACCGGCUUCGCUCAUGACCAAGCUUUGUGUGACGGUAGUGGGUAAAGAAGCACCGGCUAACUACGUG
rnacentral:rRNA from 1 species